rnacentral:rRNA from 1 species
UACAGAGGGUGCAAACGUUGCUCGGAAUUAUUGGGCGUAAAGCGCGUGUAGGCGGCUUUGCAAGUCGGGUGUGAAAGCCCUCAGCUCAACUGAGGAAGUGCGCCCGAAACUGCAUGGCUUGAGUACCGGAGAGGAUGGUGGAAUUCCCCAAGUAGAGGUGAAAUUCGUAGAUAUGGGGAGGAACACCGGUGGCGAAGGCGACCAUCUGGACGGAUACUGACGCUGAGACGCGAAAGCGUGGGUAGCAAACAGG